GGGACGCUUAUUUUUCUUUCAUAGAAAUGUUGACCACUUCAAGCCCAAUUUGGUGACAACAAGUCAACAUUUUAAAACCCCUUACAGAGUUUGUGAAGACCAAAUUAGCCAAACAAACAAAACAGAGAUCUCUAAUUGAUGGACGACUUUGAGCAAGUGCUGAAUCUCUUCGAUUCUUUUUGGUUCAAGCGUAAAUCUUCAACAAACACCCCUUUCCAAGCAAAGAAAUCGCCGGAGCCGAGUCAAGGAGGAAACCUAGGGGAAGAAAAACGAGGGGGCGGAAAAUAGGAGCCAAUUGGAGCUGGAAUUUGAAGAGCUAAAAGGGUUCAUGGAUUUGGGAUUUGUUUUCUCCGAGGAGGAUAAAGGUUCGAUCUUGGCGUCCAUAGUUCCUGGAUUGAAUUGGCUAGGAAAAAGGGAAGAAGAAGAAGAAGAAGAACAAAAGUUGUGUGGUGAAAUUUCUAGGCCUUAUCUUUCAGAAGCUUGGGAGACUAUGGAGGAAGAAGAGGAGGAGAGGAGGAAGAAGAAAAGGUGGAAUUGAAGAAGCCAUUGAUGAUGAAAUGGAGGUUUCCUUCUAAUGAAAUUCAUAUGAAAGUUAAUCUCAAAUGGUGGGCUCAUGCUGUUGCUUCAACUAUUAAAUGACUCUACUCUAAUUUUUUUCUUCAUACUUUUGUUAGGUAUAACAGCGAUUCAACUCCAGUUUUUAGGGAGUAAGGUCAUCUAAUUUAUUCUUCUAUCUCGUUUUCUCAAUUAAAUUGUAAGUGUUGAUUUUUUUUAAUCUCAAAGUUUGGGAUACUGAAAGCUAAUGUGUAAUGUAUAUUCAGAAAUUGCUUGGAGCUUCUUGCUUCUUUCUUACGAUUCUGCUACUUGAACAUGUGGUUUAACAAUAAUUCUGGAAUUGUACAGAAUUAACUAAAAAGGAGUUGUGAUAAGGAUAAAGUAGAACAUGUAUUAUAUUUCGACGAGCAUACAGAAUACUAUUAAUUGGUAGAACAGAAUCCAAGUCUUUAGAAAGAAAAAGAAUGAUUAACUUUUUGUAUUAUCUUUUACAUAUAAACGCGUUUUAGUUUUCUUUUUUCUUUUUCUUUUUUAAUAAUAACUAUAUAACGUUGGUCACGUAUAAUUUUCAUUUUUAAAAAUAUUUCAUGAUUGUUAUGUCUUAUUUGUCUAAAAAGGAGAAGAAUAUGUCUUGUUUGUACUAAAUAGUCAAGACUUUUGUGACUUGUAUAACCAUGUUACCUUUGGGGUUGCAAACUUAGAGAACAAAUCUCUUUACUCAACUGAUUUAUUGCACUCUGUUUCUUGAGAUUCAAUACUUAAAUUUUGUCCAUUUUAUACUACUUGUCAAUAUUUGUAUACUUAAACCUACCGAUAUUUUGUUCCAACCCCCACAAGUGUUUAAGAAUGAAUACUACAUUAUUAAUUUUUCUCAUUCACAGAGAUUGAUGACCAUUUUAUAUCUCAAAUUUGUAUUUCAUUCCUAGUUUCUAGGCCUAGUUUACAGACACAUUUAUAAUUGUAGAAGUCAAUAAGUGAUUGAUAACUCCUAUCAUUUAGCUUUGUUUAGGUGGUUGUUAGUUUAUAGACUACCAUUAUGACUGACUAAUAUAAUAGCCUUUUAUCACGAUCAAAAGUGUAUAAGUGGAAGUGUUUUAUUGUCACGCCUUACCCUACACGCAUCCUGAACCUUGCUAUGUGGCACACGAUGGGACUUGAGCAGCCUUGGCGCUUCAUGUGAAUUGCCAGAAUGCUCACUUGAGUCCUUAUACUUAAACUUAAACUUUAUCGAGCAACGAAAAAAUUAUUAAACUUCAAAUAGAACUAAUAAACAAAUCAUUUCUUAUUACUUGAACCAAGUGUUCUACAAUUACACUUUCCUUUCUUUUCGUACCAGAGUUAAACCUAAACUUAAACUUAAAUCUAAACGUCUUGCUUAGUUCUCACAAAGUUGAGAUGCAUCUCUUUCAGUACAAACAACAAAAAUAAUUUCUUACUUACAUAAGUUACAAAAUAAAAGAACUUAGAUUGCUUGUUCAGCUUCCACAUGUAGCAACUCAUCUUAGCGUUCCUUACUUGGCCAAAACACAUAAUCACCUAGGGAGGGAAUGUUGGAAUUUUUUGUUCUAAAACUCGUAGUUUGUAAUCAUAUUCUGUUCAAUAAAGUUGUUAUUGAAAAAUUGAAUAUUAUAAUUGUAAAUCCAAUAAACUAAGUCCUGAGACUAUUUCUGAAGUAAACUUGAACUUUAUGUGGAGAGAUAAAUGUGGAUCAAGUUCGAGUAUAUAGCCUAAAUUUCUAUAGUAUAUGAAUAAUGGUUGGACGCCUUAUUUAGAGAAAUUAUGGGUGUGACCCGCUUUGUAGUAAGUACAAACGAAAUGAUCCUGAAUCGUUCAUGUGGAGACAUGAAAGUGGGGGCAUCCUAUGUAAAGUGUUUACAAAAGACUGAACCAUGAAAUAGUCACCUUUUACGUUAUAACACCGUUUACUGUUUAAAACUAACUAUCUCCAUUAUUGAUGACCUAGGUAAACUUAAUCUUAAUCAUGAGCUAACUAUGAACUCCUGUUCACACGAGAUUAUCUUUAGAUCUGCAUAGGUGAAGGUAGCUCAUCAGCGUUGAUCCAACAAGCCUCCCAUUUUAGAGGUAAGAUCGGGUGGAUAGCUGAGGACAUAGUAUGCAAGACGGAAUUCACUCCUACCCGUUUUAGGGUUAGUAGAUAGGUUGUUCUCUUCCAAGUCUUGAACAAGGGGUCUCACCCUCUCAUUGGCCGAGAGGGAUUAAGUUUAUAAGUUGGACCUUAAACCAAUUGUUUAAUAGUGGAUUAGUGAGACUUGCAAGAUGUAGUCUUGGGGUAAAAUGAUGUUUUGACCCAACUAAGGUUACGAAAAACCACAAGAUAAAUUUAUUGAUUAUGGUUUUAUCAAAUGGACGCAAUAUAUCUAUAGUGAGGGGAGUGCAACUACGAGACUUUAGUGGAAUAAUCUGUUAGUUAACGAAUGUUCAUUAACUCGGUCUAAAAGAGUUUAGUCAAUUAAUCUUGAAUCGUUGGAGCCUAUGAUCUAUAGGUCCAUUAGGUUUCCCUGCUAGCUCAUAUGGAAUAAACUUAUAACAGUGUGAUGGAAUAAGUCGAAUUGUUCGAAUUUAAAGAAGAGAGAGAAACCGACAAGUAUAUGUGAUAUAGCCGUCGGAUUUCAUAUUAGAAAUAGAGAUUUAUGUUUAAAUGAGAUUUAAAUACUAUGAAUAUGAAUACAGAUUCAUACUAAGAAGCUCGAAAUUGAUGAAAAUGGUCAAAGUUGUAAAAAGUCAAAAUGUUGAUUUUUUUACUUCGAAAAAUCAAACUUUGAUUGGCCUUAUAUUCAAAUGUGAUUUGAAUUUUGAAAAAAUGAACGUGGAUUUAUGCUCGGGAGGUCAAAACUAGUCAACAAAACAAAAUGGUAAAAAGUCAAAAUAUUGACUUGAAAGGUCAAAUGACCCUUUUACCCUUGGACUAAGUUAGUGGAAAAAUCCAACUUUUUGUUGGAUAAUCCACGAACACCUAGUGGGAUACGUGGCUACAUGAGAUGUAGACACCAAGCCCAAUAAGUUCCACUUAUUGUUAGUGGAUUAUUAUGUGUUGAGAUUUGACUAAUUAAUUACAUGCAAAAUUGCAUGUAAUUAGGUUAUAAAUAGGGUUUUUUUCAUCUAUGUUAAAAACUUUUGCCCUUUUCAAGUAAUUUUGGAAAUUACAAAAUCAUUACUCUCCAAAAUCUCAACCAAAAUUCUACCUUCCAAUUUUCAUACAUCUCCCUUAGUUCCUUCAACUAAUUGGUCCCACAACCUGGUUCUAAAUCCGAAGAUUAGCGGGUCAUCUUUAGUGGUUGUCUUGGAUUAAGUUCGUGAGGAGAUAUCAAGGAUUUCAGAAAGCUUCAAAGGUAUAUUUUCUUCUAAUUAGGGUCUUUUCAAGCAUGUUUAUCACUAAAUAGUUUAGUUGCAUAUAGAGUAAAAUUGAUCAGUAUUUUCCUCUGUGUUUGUAUGCUUUCCAUUAUAUGGUAUCAGAGCAUGCUAAUUUUACUCAAUUGCAUAUGAUGGGUGUGUAAUUUAUUUGAUAAGUUAUGGUUGAACUAAAAUGGAUAUAUUAUGAUUUUGGGUGAAUUGUAAAAUCAUAAACUUGUCAUUUAUUAUGUUGAAUAAGAAGUUUUGAGACCAAUCACAAAUUGCCACAUCAUUUAUUAAGUUAAUGAUGAAAAAUACAAAUAAUUAAAUUUGAGACUAAUUAAAAUUGACAUGUGCCCCAAAUUAAAAAAAAAUUGAAAAAGAAACAUAAAUUUGGCUAUUCUAAUAAUGCCACAUGUUUUCAUCUUAAUCGUUGGAUUAAGUUAAUCAUUUUGGUUCAAUUAAAUAUUAUUUACUUGGACUAAGUUCAAUUAAGCUAAAAAAUAAGUUUAAUUGAGCCCAAAAACUAAAUAUAACAUAAAUCCAUAUGGUUAAGCCCAUGGGUCUGGUCCAUCGAUCAACCAGGUUUAAGCCCAUAAAGCCCACUAAUGAACUCUAUAAAUAGAAGAAUUAUUCUCAUUUGUAGGGGUUGAAAAUUUUUUACUCCAGAAGAUCUAGAGAGAAUUCUCCAAGAGCAGACUCCCUAACUCCUGAAGUCGACCAUCCUCGAAGAUUGAAGCUCUUUGAAGAUACAAACUUUUGGAAACUCCUGAAGUCGACCAUCCUCGAAGAUUGAAGCUUCUUUGAAGAUACAAACUUUCUUCCAAGACUCCAACUUCAAGAACAUCACGUGCUUCGCUUCCUCAAAUCAAGCGUAAGUAUUCAACCAACUUGAAAAACAUCACGUGCUCCGCUUCUCCAAAUCAAGCGUAGACGUUCAACAAACUCCAAGAACAUCACGACAAGUCAACUUGAUAUCCUUGACUUAUGAUAUCAAGGAUCGUGUAUCAUAAGUCAUUAUAAUUUGUUUUGAUAAAAAUGAAAAAGAUAUAGAAAAAUGUAAAGGUAUACAUUAAACUCAUAAAAGUGAAACAAAUUAAACAUUAAAUAAUCCUAAAUAUAAAAUAACAAGAAACAAAUAAAAAUGGUUUAAUCUGAUUUAAAAUUAUAAAAAAGAAAUAAGAUAAAAAAUAAGAUUUUUUAAAAAAAUAUAACAAACCGACAAAAUAUUUCCACUAUAGAACAAUUUUGAAAACAUAAAAGCACAUAGGUCCACAAUCGAAAAUACAAAAAUGCCUCAAUUAACACGCCAUUAAUCGGCCACAUGCAUGCAUGUAAUUCUUCUUCUAAACAAUCAUGAUACACGAUCUUAUAGGAAAUGAUUCACGAUUGUGUAGGUAGUACCAACACCAACCACAUGUGUGCGUGUAAUUCUUUUUAUAGACGAUCAUGAUAUGCAAUUGUGUAGGAAAUUAAAUAAUACACGAAUGUGUAGUUCUUUUUAAUGAUGAAAAAUAUGUUUCAAAUCUAAAUGAUUGUGUUGACCAUGCUAAACGAUCACAUGUUAAACGAUUGUGUUGACUAGGUAAACGAUCAUUUAGACCAUAUCAAAGUGAUAUUUAAACGAUAUCGAUAUUUUGGAAGAGGAGUUGUAUGAAAGAAAGAGAAGAGUUGAAAAAAGGAAGAAAAAAAAGAAAAAGAAUAAAAAUAGAAGAAAGGAAGAAAGAAAAAGAAAGAAUAAAAAUAGAAGAAAUAAAAUGUUGAAGAUGAAUUGAAGAAAUGUAAAAGAGAAAAUGAAUAAAUGACGAAGAAGAAGAAAGAGAAGCAACGAAUCGUCUGCAAUAUCAACGACAAAUCUAAGAUUUAUGAAAAAUUUCUAUAGACUCGUGAACUUUUUGAUUUUGUUAUCCGAACGGUAAAUAUGUUAGUGUUUUAUUAUAUUUAUAAAAAUUAACAAAAAAAAUGCAAAGAAAUAUGAUAAUGCAAAUUAAAGAUUGAAUAAUUCUAGAUAUUGUAAAAAAUGAGUUAUAUCAAAACAAAGAUGAUAUAAAACUGAAAAUUCGAAAUUAAAAAAUAGAGAGAAUUUGAGUCUUGAUUUUGUUAGAUAGAAAAUGUCACAAGUAAGGACGGUAUUUCGAUUGAAUCAAAGUGUAUUAAAUCACAUAAUACAAAGAGUACAAAAAUACAAAAUAUUUAAAGAAAGAAAGAAAGGGUUAGAGAAUGGUUUGGUUUGUUAUUGGGCCAUUAUAGCGUUGAUGGGCCAGAGUGAUGCAUCCCCCUUUUGCCAGCUUCUAUUGAAUCCCAAAUUGGAAGGCCGAAGUCCCUUCAGAUUUAUUACUGUUUCUGCUUCCUCUUCAUCAAUUUUCCGUUUCGAACAAAUCACGAUUCACAUUCAUUACUGCUCAUUGCUGUUCCCUUUCCAUUAUCCCACCAAACUGAUGAGCGUUGACGAAGCUGCUUCUUCUUCUUCUCCUCCUCCUCCUCCUCCUCCUCAUUUCCAUCCCUACCCUCUCCUCUCUUUUCAGGUAUUUCCAUUCACUUUUUUCUCCUCUUUCACCCUUCACUUCCUCUUCCCUGCUCUGAUCACUACAAAUUUAUUUCAAAUUUCAGCACCAGCUUCUCCCAUUGUUUUACUCCGCCAGAUUCCACCUUCAUUUCCUCCAAAUCUAACACCCCUUUUUCCCCCCCUCUCAUUUCUCAAGAACUAGUAAGAUUGGAGUUUUGGGUUCUUUUUAUUUCUUGUUUAUUUCUUGUUCUCUGACUUUUGCUUUCUGCGAGUCUGGCUUUUGGUUGAUAUUGGAGGGAAAGAUUGUUGUUGGUUUCAAAUGGAGUAAUUGAUUUAUGGAAAUAUCUUUUGAUUUUGUGCUCGAUUUUGGGUGUGAACUUUCUGUCCCCUUUAUUGAUUGUGCUGUUCUACUCCAACCUUAUUAUGAUUUACGGGUUUCGGUGCCAUUCUCAGGACUCCUCUUUAUUUUCUUUUACUUUUUUUGUCUCUCAUAUAUUCUUGAAUUCGAUUUCUUCAUUGUAGAUAGGGGAGAGUUGCAUCUUUAGGUGGAAUUUGACUUCCUGAAGGAUCCAAAUUUCAGAAGGUAAUUUCUAAGCUAGUCUGGUUUUAUAGAGUUCUAUUGGGGCUUGGCCGAUGGCUUUUUAUCCAAAGGAGUACUUGAGGAUUAUCUUUUCAAGACUGUUUUAGUUGGAGAUUUAGCUUGCGGAGUAAUUGAGACUUUUUUUUUUCAAGAUUUGCUAGAGACUACCCUAAUUUGAAGUCAACCACCUGAACUAUCUUUUAUUAAUGUUUAGUUCUUUCAGAAACAUUGUUAAACGGACCAAAAGUCUUAGUUCAUCGGAGUCUAAGAUCAUUAUUCUUUUUGAGAAUUCUUGCAAAGCAAGCUUUUUAGCUGGGAAUAUUGGAGAUGGUAGUGAUCCAAUCAAGAUGAAUGUUGAAUCAGAACCUGCAACUGAAUGGGAGAGUUUACUUGAACCUUUUGAUCUCACAAAGCUUAGGAAGUCUCACAUUCUAAUUACUCCUGUUCAACUUUGUAAACUGCUUGAGCUCCCACUUGAUGUUCCCACAUUGUUGGAAAUAUUUGAACGGGUGGGUGGCCAGAAGGGCUAUUGCCAUACAUUUGAUGUAUACUAUGUGUUUAUAAAUAAGCUUGGGGCAAUUGGAAAGUUCAAGCUUAUAGAUAAACUUUUAAUGCAGAUGAAAGAAGAAGGGAUUGUUUUUCGAGAGUCCAUUUUCAUGAUAAUUAUGAAACAUUAUGGAAAAGCUGGACAACCUGGACAAGCAAUUAGAUUGCUCCUAGAUAUGAGGGCUGUCUAUUUAUGUGAACCAACUUUCAAAUCUUAUGAUUUAGUUUUGGAAAUACUUGUGACCGGUAAUUGCCCACAAGUUGCUACAAAUGUUUUCUAUGACAUGUUGAGUAAGGGUGUCUCUCCCACUGUUUUUACUUUUGGCAUUGUGAUGAAAGCUCUCUGUAUGUUUAAUGAGGUUGAUUCUGCAUGCUCACUCCUUAGAGAUAUGACAAAGCAUGGAUGUGUACCCAAUUCUAUUGUUUAUCAAACUUUAAUACAUGCACUAUCCCAAAAAAACCAAGUUAGUGAAGCCUUAAAGCUUUUGGAAGAAAUGUUUGUUAUGGGAUGCAUGCCUGAUGUUCAAACUUUCAAUGAUGUUAUUCAUGGCCUCUGCAAGGUUAAUAAAAUUCAUGAUGCAACAAAAUUGGUUGAUCGAAUGCUUCUUCGAGGUUUUUACCCAGACAAUAUGACGUAUGGUUUUCUGUUGCAUGGUCUAUGUAGGAUUGGAAAACUCAAUGAAGCAAGAAAAAUAUUGAUCAAAAUCCCUUGUCCAAACAAUGCAAUCCUCAAUACUUUAAUCAAUGGGUACGUUAUGAGUGGACAGCUUAAGGAAGCUCAAAGUUUUCUUAAUGAGACUAUGAUAAAUUUUGGUUUUCAGCCUGAUAUUUUUACAUACAACAUCUUGAUGCAUGGUCUCUGCAAAGAGGGGAGUCUUAGUUUUGCUCGUGAUUUGGUCAAUGAGAUGUCGAGGAGGGGUUGUGAGCCGAAUGUGAUCACAUACGCGAUACUGGUUAAUGGGCUUUGUAAAGCAGGGCUUCUUGAAGAAGCUGGACUUGUUUUACAUGAGAUGUCAGCAAGGGGAUUGACUAUAAAUUCAGUUAUAUACAAUUGCUUGAUAUGUGCUCUAUGUAGGAAAGAGAAGGUUCAUGUUGCUUUAAAUCUGUUGAGUGAAAUGUGCACGAAAGGGUGCAAGCCUGACUUGUUUACGUAUAAUUCUCUAAUCUAUGGAUUGUGCAAGGUUGAUAGGAUUGAUGAGGCCUUCAGGUUGUUUCAUAAUAUGUUAUUGGAUGGUGCAGUUGCCAACAAUGUGACUUACAAUACACUGAUUCAUGCACUUUUAAGGAGGGGUGCAUUCCAAAAAGCACUCACACUUGUUAAUGAUAUGUUAUUUAGAGGAUGCACUCUUGAUAAGAUUACUUACAAUGGUCUGAUUAAAGCAUUUUGCAAAGUUGGUAAUAUUGAAAAAGGAUUGGAACUAUAUGAGCAAAUGAUAAUGGAUGGACUUGGUGCUGAUACUAUAUCGUGUAAUAUUAUGAUCAAUGGGCUCUGUAAAGUUGGAAAAGUGGACAACGCAUUUGAAUUUCUAAGAGAUGCAAUCAAUCGAGGUUUUGUGCCUGACAUAGUUACUUAUAACAGUGUUUUAAAUGGACUUUGUAAGGUUGGACGCAUCAAGGAAGCUUUAAAUCUAUUUGAUAGAUUACAAGUUGAAGGUGUUCGCCCCGAUGCUUUUACCUAUAACACUUUUAUCAGUUGGCAGUGUAAAGAAGGCAUGGUGAAUGAUGCUUGUUUUUUUUUUAUAGAGGCAUAGAAAAUGGUUUUGUACCCAGUAAUCUUACUUGGAAUGUGUUGGUCUAUACUUUGUUAAAACAAAGUAACCAGGAGAAUAAUUUUUUUGUGUUAGACGAGUUAUGGUGAUAAGAUGUACUUGUGAAAUAAUUUUUCACUUUAGAUAUUUCAGUUUCUUCUUGUGAAGCAUACAUUUUGCAGAAAUUUUAAAAAUGUUAGUUUUAGCGAAUUGGUGGCACCCUGAGAAACAAAAUGGAGAAUCAUGAGGCUUAAUUUCUUGUCGCUUGAUUGAAUAAGUUUUGUGCAUGUUCAUACCUCAUUCAAAUAGGCUUGAUUGAGUUUCUUACUUCACUGUUUUGCUCAUGUGCUGGUUCGUUUGCAUAUAUUAUGGUUUGAUAAGUUAAUGUGUUUACUUGGUGUGGUUACUUUUGUUUACCUUUUUUUUUCUUUUUUAAAUGCAAGAAACAACAGAAACUUUUCAACACAAAGCUCUUCUGAUUAACAGAAAGAUUAGAAUUGCACCUUGAGCACCAAUCAUUACAUUUUUACAUGAUCUUGAAGAGGAUUUGCGACAUAGAUUCUUCUAUUUAUUUUCCACUUCAAUUACCAUAACAAGAAAAAACUAUUCUUAAAUGAUCACAAGAUCUUCCCCUCCUUUUAAAAAAUGAUAACUAAGAACAUAAAGGAUGUGGGUGAUACUAUUGGUUGGAAAAGCUAUUGAAAGGAAAGGGGGAUUCUUUUCUCACAUGUUGCCACAAAAAACGAGCAAGUAGGGGAAAAAUCUGAUAUUGUGGUUGUGCUUUGUUGUCUUCUUUGCUCAAUUGCUUAUUGAUUCAUAAUGAGAGAUCUCCUUAAAAACCCUGACUCGAUGCCACAUGAAAUUGUGUAAAUUAAUAUCUGUGGUUUGGUUGUAAAGAGACUGCAAUUGUCGCAAGUUGUUUAUCAUUUAUUUAUUUAUUUUAUUAUUUUCUUUGCUUUUGUGCAUAUGGCAACGUUUCACUUGAGCAAGUCAUUCUUUGCUGAUGUGAAAAUCUUUGUUGUUUCGACUCUCUAAAACCACUUUCCAAGUUGAUAUUCAUUAUCAAGAGUCAGCCUAGUGCCUUCUAUCAACUUAGACUGCAGAAAAUAAUAAUUAUAAAUUUUUCUUAUCUAUGUUGGGUGAUAUUCGUUAUAUUUUCAGUUUAUAUUGGUUUAUGGAUGAUAAAAUUGGGUUGGUGGUCCACUGGCCACGUGCAAAUGUAUCACAGAAUUGAAUUUGAACUUGCUUGGAGCUAGUAUCAAUAUACGUAGAUUGGUCCAUCGGAUGAUGUGCAAUAUACUUAGCAUCAGCAUAAUUUAAUUAUUUAAAAAUGUUGUGAUGCAGUUACUCAUCUGUCCUAGAAAUUGGAUGGUUGAUACACCUGGCUACUUAGCAUCAUGAUGUUGAUUAUUAAAGGCAUUACCGUUUCUGUGUCUAUACUUUUAUGAAAAUGAUUAUUUUGACAAUUAUCAUCCUUAUCGUCAUCUAGUUUCUUAGUGUAAUACCUUUCAUUAUUGUAUUACUGUUUGUUAUCAAAUGUUCAGAGUUGUAAUUUGCUUCUGUUAAAAUGUUGCAACAAUUUACUGUGCAUACUUUCUUCUCACGCUAUCUUCCGAAAGAAAUAGCAGCACCCAUCAAAAUUAUUUCCUCUCCUACGUCUUUAGAUUUUUUGGUUAAUUGUACUUUUGUUUUAGAUAUAAAUUUCUCCGUACAUUUGUUUUGGUUCUUGGAAUGGCCAGGCUGGGUUCGAUAUUGAGAAAGCACCAGAAUUUUUUACUCGAUCUGUUGAAGCUAAGGCGGAUUGACACAAGAUUAUAUUCUAUUUCCCUUUUUGUUUCCUUCUCACUUCACCAGCUAUUAGCUUCAGAAUAUUGGUACUCUCAGAUUCUUUCCUUACUCCAUCAAGUAAGUACUCACACAAUAUCUCUGGCAUAUUUUAUACCUUUCCUUCCUUUCAAGUUUCCUCUGUCUCUUAUAUUCCUGAAUUCUAUUUCUUUGAUUCUGAGUAGGGAAGAAUUGCAUCCUUAGGUGGAAUCGACUUGCUGAAGGACCCAGAAUUCAGAAGGUAUUUUGAAACUAUUAUGGUUCUAUAGAGUUCUGUGAGGCUUGGGCAAUGGCUUUUUAUUCCGAGGAGGAAAAAACUGAAGAUUAUCUUUUCAAGAUUGUUUUAAUUGGUGAUUCAGCCGUGGGAAAAUCAAAUUUGCUCGCUAGAUUUGCUAGAGAUGAAUUUUACCCUAAUUCCAAGUCAACCAUUGGAGUGGAGUUCCAGACCCAAAAGAUAGAAAUAAAUGGAAAGGAAAUCAAAGCUCAGAUAUGGGAUACAGCUGGUCAAGAGCGAUUUAGGGCCGUUACAUCUGCAUAUUAUAGAGGAGCUGUUGGAGCUCUCCUCGUAUAUGACAUUAGUAGGCGUCAGACCUUUGACAGCAUUGGAAGAUGGCUGAAUGAACUUCACAGUGAGUAUUACAAAGAUGUUAUCUGAUGUUUCUUGAUAAUAAAAUCUCCAAUACUAAAUUGUCAUGCCUUUUUAUUUGAUUUUCAAGUUAUUGAACUGGUUUACUUCUCAUUAUUCUGUCAUUUGUAUUACCGUUUCCUUUUUGUGAAUGUGGUGUAGAUAGUAUCUUAUGAUGAAAAAAAUUAAGAAACAGUAAUUUCCUUUCUGCAUGAGUGUUGGAACUUUUAGAAGGCUUCAAAGAUUUUUAUUCUAUAAUUUGCCUUCACCAGAUCGUAUUCUGGAAACAGUAGAAUUUUCAACAAGGAAGAAAGUCUUAAGUAAUGAAGGGUCAUAAGUUCGAAUUUCCUCGAGAGCUGCAUCUGAAUUGGAAAUGUAAAACAAAAGGAGAAAAAAACAUUAUGUAAAGUUUCUUGGUUGUAACUAUAUCGUUACAGUGUUGAGUGAACACUGUUAAAGGCUCAAGCAUUUGCCAAUUUUUUUGUUUGAUGUUUCUCUAUGCCUAACUUCUUGGAUCAGUUUAUCUCUUAGUUUCUUAAGGGACUCUCUCUAAGUUUCUUGUGGUUCUCAGUUGAAGGGUUUCAUCUUUUUGGCCUGUGUUCUUCGGUUGUUGGUUUGUCUCCUUUUUUUUCUUUUUUUUUUUUGUAUUUGAAGAUGUAUUUUGGAGCAAUAUUUUCUUUUUAUCAUAUAAUUUUUUUGGGGAAAAAUGCCUUUUUGGUCUAGUUUUUAUUUAGACCCUAAAUAUUAAAAUGUUAUGCAUUUAGUCCUUAGAUUUGAUUUUGGUUUCAGUUUAGUUCCUAAGUAUCAAAAUUACAAUUUGAAACCUAGCCACCUAGGGGACUAAAUUGAAAUCAAACUCAAAUCUUAGGAUUAAAUAGUAACAUCACUCAAAUCUUAUGAUUAAAUACGUAACCUCACUGAUAUCUUAUGAUUAAAUAUGUAACAUUUGAAACCUAGGAUUAACUAGAAGUUAGACCCAAAACUCAGAAACUAAAAGACAUUUUCCCCAAAUUUUUGUUCUUUUUUGUUUUCCUUUAAAUUAAAAGGGCUCAAGAAAUAGGUUGCAUCUGUGCCUUUUUUUAUGACCUAAAAGGACUGAUUGGGUAAAUCUUUGAUUGAACAGCUCAUUCUGACAUGAACGUAGUAACCAUACUGGUUGGCAACAAGUCUGAUCUCAAGGAUGCUAGAGAAGUACCAACUGCUGAAGGCAAGUCUUUGGCAGAAGCUCAGGGUCUGUUUUUUAUAGAAACCUCAGCCCUCGAUUCUUCGAAUGUGACAAACGCAUUUCAGACAGUCGUGAAAGAGAUCUACAACAUAUUGAGCCGAAAAGUAAUGAUAUCUCAAGAGCUUAAGAAGCAGGAUGUGAGCUGGAUGGAGAAUGGAAAGACUACUGUAGUUAUACAGGGAGAGGACCAAGUAGAAGGAGAGCCCAAAAAAGGUGGGUGCUGCUCAUCCUAGUAAUUUACAUAUUGGAAUCUGUUCUUUCAUUUAUUCUGCUCAUUAUAUAGCAUCAUUUGCUUAACAACUUCCACAUGUAUCUUCUUCUCCAUCUUGUUGAGUUUUCUUCAGUCGAUGAAUCUGCUCUCUCUAUGUUUUUUCUUCUGCAAUUCUGGUAACAUUUGAUUUGAUGCGUUCUCGCAUGACUGAUGGAUUAGAGAAACAUGGGGGAAUUGAAAAAUGUAAAUGUGACCUGAAAGGGUUUAAUUUUCAAAAGUAAUAUUUUUUACCUCUGUUCAAAUUUAUGCUCAAAAUCCUGUCUGAGCUUCUAAAGAAUAUCAUUCCAACAUCAUCAUUGUAUGGUUCAUUAUUCUCAAACUUUUAUCUUAUGUCGUCCUCUGAAGAAUAUUCAUUGUAGUACUUGAAAGCAAGUAUAAGUUAUUAGAUUGAUACGAUUUGGUAAAGGAAUCAGGUCUUCCAAUGACUACUGUUGUCUGGUUAAGAGUUUAGAUAUCAGUUUAAUUUGAUAUAUCAAACUAAAUGAAUGCAUAUUUGUGAUCAUGGUUGGGUUGUGAACUUGUUUAUUUACUUCUAUGGACGACAUGGUUGGGUUGAUGAAUGCUACUCGACCCUUUGACCCCAACCUCACUCGUUUGGCAUUAGAAUUUCAACGGAAAUGAUUUCAAAUGACAAUUUUAAAUGCAAGAAUGAUUUCAAAUUAUUACUUGUGUUUGGCACAUAACUUAUUUGAAAAAGUGUGACAUCUAACCUUUUUGUCCUUAUAUUUUUUAUAAUUGGGUAUUUUAAAAAAUAUAACAAAGUGACAAAAUAUUUAUGUUGUAUAAAACAAUUUUGAAAAAGGAAAAAAGUUUGUAAGCUCACGGUGAUUUUUUUUAAAAUUAUCUCGAUUAAUUAGCAUUAAGAAUAUAGUUGGGAAACCAUUGUUCAGGGCCCGUUUGGUCACUCUGUUCCAUGUUUUUGUUUUCACUUUUUUAAAGAAAAAACGGAGGUAUUUGGAUACGUUCUCCGUUUCUCGUUCUAAAAGAAAGUAGAAACGUUUUUCUUUUUAUUCCUUUUUCUCCAUUCUUUUUAUCGAUUUCCUUUUUCUUUUGCUCAAUUCUUUUGAUUGGUUUUAUUUUUCAUUUUUUUCAAUUCUUUUUCUAUUUCAUUUUCCUUUUCCUCUUGUGGAAGACCUUUCUCUUCCUCUUAUAAUCUUCUUCCUCAAAUAAUCAUUCCCCAAAUAACCACUUUCCACAUGGUUUCCUUUUUCUUCCUCUUAUCUCCAUCAUCUUCCCAAAUGACCAUACUCUUCCUCUUUCUCUCAUCGUUUUCAUUGUCUUCCUCUUCGCCUCACAUCAUCUUCCUUUACACGAUGCAUUCCUCUUUGCUGAAUUUUGGUUCUCCUCUUCCUCUUUGCUUGAAUUGUGUUUUUGCUGUGGAUUUCGCCUAAUUUAUGAGUUUUUACUAGAUUUUUGUUUUAGCCGUGAGUUUGUCUUCCUCUCACCGACUUUGUCCUUCAUAUCUCAAUCUUCAUCUCAGUUUCUAUAAGAUUACAAGAAGAUCUUAUUUUCUAAGUUUGAUAUAUUUUUUUAAUGUUUAAUGGAGGACAUAUUUUUGUUUGAUGUUUAAUUGAAUUAAAUGUGAAUAAAAUAAAAAAUAAAUCUCAAAUAAAAUCAAGAAACAAGAAACAAUUAACAAACACAUUUUCUGUUUCUGUUUCUUUUUUUUCAAGAAAUAAGAAAUAGAAACAAUUAUCAAACACAUUCCUCUUUCUUGUUCUAAAAAAAGAAGGAACAGAAAACCGGGAACAAAGAACAAGGAACAAGAAACAGGGAAUGAGAACGUUACCAAACCGGUCCUUAGUAUUUAGGGUUUAGAUUUGAUAUCUUUAGAAAGUGAUCAUUUAGUAUUUGGGGUUUAGAUUUGGCUAUUAUUUCCUACACGAUCGUUUAUGUUUGGGUUGAUCGUUUAGAUUUGGAUCCAAAUCUGAACGAUUUUUUAAAUAAUUUUUUAAUACAUGAUCGUUUAAACUUAGAUAUGGGUUGUCAAAUCUCAAAGAUUUUUUUUCAAGAUUUUUUGGAAAAUCAUCGUUUAUAUUUGGUACACGAUCAUUUAGAUUUGUUCAUUCAAAUGUGGUGCACGAUCCUUUAUAUUUGGUGCACAAUCGUUUAGAUAUGAUCUCAAAUUUAAACAAUUUUUUUUUAAAGAUCUAUCAUUUAAAUUUGUCUAUUUUUGUACUUGAUCGUUUAGAUUUGGCUAUCCAAACAACCAAAUAACCGUUUGAAUUUUUUUUAAAUAAGAUCUUUUAUAUUCGGUAUACGAUCUUGAACCAAAUAAUAAGUUGAAAAAAUUGAAGAGAAAAAGACGAUGGAAAGAAGAAAAAAAUCGCAGAAAGAAAGAGGAGAAGAAAGAAUGAAAAGGAAGAGCAAACUUGGAAUAUUUUUUAAAAAAUGACGAGCUCAAUCAAUUUUUUCCUUUUGUGACACACCGUAAAUAUUUUGUGAGUUUGUUAUACUUAUAAAAAUUAAUCUAUUAUAAAUUACUUUUGUAUCAAAUAAUGGUACUAAUUGUAUAAAUCCAUUUUAAAUUGUGUUAUUUUCAAAUACGAUAAAAAUGAAUUAAAAUAUUUACAAAAUAUAGCAAAAUAUUAUUAUAUAUAUGUGUGAUUGAUUCAAAUAGACUACUAUAUGUUUCUAUCUGAUUCGAUCACAUAUAGAUCGUGAUAUUUUGCUAUAUUUAUAAAUAUUUUAAAAAAUUGGUUUUAAAUUUUGCUUUAUUUACCUUUUCCUCUUUCGAUGUCUCAAGAAGAUAUUUAUCUAUAAAUGUUGUCCAGCUUAUUGUAUAUAUCUUUUUAUCACUCACAGUUUCUAUUUCUUUAUCGUUCACAAAAAUUGAAAAAUUCACAAUUAAAAUUAAUUGUCCAAAUCAAGUCUAGCAACAAAAGUUUAUAUGACAAAUAAUAAUAAUAAAAAAGAUACAUACCAAUAUUAAGUUCUAGUUGUUGAACAGAGACAACGCUUCAACUAAUCCUCACCAAGUUUUUGGCUCCGUUGCCAGAGAAUUGGUAUUUCAAAUAUUAGAGUAGAGUUUUACUUUGAUUUUGGGCAAAGCAUUUGACCUUGGUGAAUCACGCAUUCAGUCGAAGAUCACGUAAAGAGGUUCAAGGUAUCAGAGUAAUUUGUGAUUGCUUGAACCCACCCCAGGAUCAGUGUAUCUUUCGGUAAGUAGUCAGGACGAGUCUCAAUGUAUGCGUUCAAUCGCAAAUGAAGAUAAGAACUUCCAUGUGGGCUUCAAAGAAGGUGUCCGUGCGUAAAGCUGAUGAAAUUUGUAUUUCAUCUAGUCAUACGAUAAGAACUAAGAAAGAUCAUUUGAACAUUGCGAUGAAUGAUGAAGAGUAGAGACUUAUUGCAAUAAACAAUCAGGAUGUAGAGAGUUAUGAUGGAAAUGAUCUACGAAGUUCAGGAAUGAUGCGGUCAGAAAAGCUAUGCGGAGCAGAAGCGAUGAUAUCACAAUCCUUCCUCGCCAAAGAACCUGAACGCAUGAAUGCAUUUGUAAUGUAUAAUUUUUCCAUCUUUACUAAGGACUGUAUCCCUAUAUUUUUGUAUAUACUCAUACUGGUAUACCUUUGUAAUUAUUCUUAUACUUGUAAAUUAGUUUUGUAUUUUCUUCAUCUAACACCAAAGAUUGCAUGUUAAAUCACAAAAUUAUUGACUCAUAGGAUAAGAUAAAUGCGAUAAAUCCAGUCUAUGAGAAAGGUCGAGUAAAAACAAAUCGAGCAUUCUGAACUUCUUGUACGACAUGGUUGAUUUUACAUUUCAUUGGGAAGCGUUAGGGUUUUUAGGGAGUAUGAAACGUCUCAUCGCCCUUUAAAGUUCUUAAAGUUCCAAGGAGCAAUGGAUAUGUUGUACCUCGGGCCAUGAGUUGCUUGUCAGGAUUAUCAUGCCACAUUUUAUACGACAAGACUUUAAUCGUGAAGUAACCAACCCUUUAACCCUAGUUAAGACUGUUUAUUUAAACUAUAGCGAAACCUUAAACUUUAACCACUAGCUUAACAAAUUUCUCUACUACACAUCAAGAUAUAUGUUGCUCAAUCAUCAUUAUGUUUAAGUCGUUUCUCUCCCUUCCCUCUCAAGUGGUAAGCACUCGCUCUUAAAAUAUCCUGUACAUGAGUAAAUAUUCUCAUUUUAGUGGAUGUGUAUGGGAAGAGAAGGGGAGAUACGCUUAAACUAUUGAUGAACCGCAGAGUAAGAAGCUUUCAGAGGACUUUUAAUUGGCUUAACAAUUCAAGCAGUUUUUCAAUCAUAACUACUUUGAAUUGUAUUUCUCUCUCUUUUCCUUGCUUCAUGUGGUCCGUUAUGAAUAACAGUCCUCCUUGGUUUGUAAUUUCUUUUCUCACCAUUAGUUUAAAUUGUAUUUUUCUUCUUUCCUUUUUCCCGGACGUGGUUACCCAAGCAAGCCAAUCCAACACACUAGUUGAACAUCUUCAAUUUUGGUGGACUUGUAUGGGAAUAAGAAAGAGAAAAAUACAAAUCAAUAACCACACAACGAGUUACCAAUCCAUACAACAAUCAUAAUUGCAAGCUCAUUCUAAGACUUGAGAAUCUCCCCUCAUUGACCUAAGAUUCGCUCUCGCCAGUAUCACGUGAGUUAUCUGGAAUAUCCAACACCGUCUUGCCACAUUCACAUUUUUAGAUCUGGGAGUUACAUUCCACCAGCGUCUCAUCAACGUCUUUCUCACGGUGAGCCCUACAACGACAUACACUGUAAUCGUUUCACAAGAAGCCCAUCCCUAGACUUGAAAUCUUCCCUCACUUAGACUUGGGAUUUGCUCUCACCAGUAUCACAUGAGUUACCUAUGGUAUCCAACAGUGUCUUCCCUCAUUUCUUUUUAAUUCUUCUUAAACAUCUCUUGGAGAGAGUCCAUGAUCUAACGUGCAAUGACCAUGGUCUCAUGUUUCUUGCUUAGUAUGUCAAACAUACUAGACACGAGAUAGACGCGAACCUUGUUAUUGGCCUUUGUCCAACGGUUAUAUGCAUCUCUGACAUUCUGAGAUGCAUUUCGAGCAGGGGAAUGAGGACAUUCCUCCAUUAAGACGAAGCGUAGAUCAUUAUUAACCAGAAUCUUAUUCAGGUUUGACUUCCACGUCACAUAAUUUUUAUUGAUUAAUUUAUCAUUUUUAAGCAGUUGAAAAAUUGAAAAAGACACGCUGAAACAAUCAAUUGGUCAUAUUAUUUAUCUUUGUCUUAACCCAUCAAAAUAAUCCAAUCAAUUCAGCAAAAACAAGCAAUCAUAGAACUCUAAUCAACAAAUGAUUUAGUUUUGCAACGAUACUUCAGAAGUUUAGAGCAAGAGCCACCGAAGGGUGAUUAGCUACUCCUCUCCUGAAUUGAGACAAUCUCAGAUAAUAACUAAUACCAGAAUAACUCAUAUUCCUAUAGUUCUUAGCUAUCAUUGUUCGGUCAAGGAUUCAUGAACUAACUUAAUUCAUCCUGUAAGUGUGACCCUAUCAUUUUCAGAUCCCAGAGGUACGCUUCAACAGGCUACCAAAAGGAAAGACAACUGUUGAAGAUUAACCUAAGAAACCCUAUCCAUUUAUAGAGUUUGCGUUGUUCCGACUGCUACAAGUAGGCCUCCAAAGGGAUGGUCAAGCUAAAACGACACGCAGGCGGAUCAUAGAAAUCUCACGGUGCAACCUAAUGGAGGAGACCGUAGGAUACGGUGACACUCGUCCUUCUCCCACUUACUAUGAAUAUUUCCCCUAUUCACCAUAUUAUUGACCCAUACAAACACUCUCCGAAGGAAGGCCGCUCCCAGGGCGACACAAAGCCGAGUAUGAAUCUCACGUGUGAACUCUUAGGAUGUGAGAGCUAAAAAUUGAUAUAUCAUAUAUACCAUUUUUCUCCCACUAAAACGUUCUAUUAAUUUAGGGUUUGUUGUACUUAGAUAAAUUCCGGCUAAAUGCAUCUAUCUAAGUCUAUUCUUAUUAUAACUCUUAUAAUAAACUUUACUAUAAAGUUUCUAGAUGCACUAAACUAUUUAUUUUACCUAGUGACAUCUCAUUCUUAAUAGGAACAAGGUUAAUUCAACGCCAAUUUCGAGUCAGUUUCCAGAUAGGAGAUGUUCCGUAAACUGUCAAUUUAAGUACCCUAGCCUUAGACAGAACUUUACCAGUGGAGUUCCCUUAUAACCUUAAAUCCUAUUCAUUCUUAGGAUUUCUAGGUGUAUUAAAUCAUUUAAUUUACCUAGUGGCAUCUUAUGCUAAUGGGAAUAAGAUUAAUUCAACGCCGGUUCCGACUCAGUUCUCAAGUAGGAGGUGUUUUGUAAACCGUCAACUUAAGUAGCUCCAUCCUUAGACAAAAUUUUACCAGUGAAGUUCCCUUAUAACCUUAUCCUAUUUGUCCUAUUUAGUUCCAUUAAACUAAAAAUAUAAUUCUAAUCCUAUUAGAAUUAAUGUGAUCUUAGGUCCAUUUAACUUUAAACAAUUUAAGAUUAAAUGAAAUUAAUCCUAAAAUCCUAAAAUAUAAUUAUAAUCCUAAGAUCUUUAUUAUAGGUUGACGGUUUCUAAUUAAGUAAUUUUAUAAUAUUUAUAAAAUUACUUAAUUAGUCCUAUAAUAUGUACACUAUGGUUUAAUUAAUUAAAAAAUAUUAAUUAAAAAUAUCCAUACAAUAUGCAAAAUAUUAUAUUAACAUAAUAAUUAUAUUAAUCUAUGGAUGUAACAUGCUCAAUGCAAAUUUGAUUUUUAUCUUAAUUAAUAUAAAAUUUAUUUAAAAACUAUAUAAAUUAACCAAGCAUCCAUAAGACAUUAAUUUAAAUAGAAUAAAUUAUAUUUAACUAAGUAAUAUCAUCCGUCAUCAUUUUCCAAUUUCAUAUAUUUAAAACAUCAAAAUACUUUAAAUAAUUUAUGAAAUUCAACAUACAAAAAUGGAUGAACAUGCUUAGAAAAUCAUCCAAAAUGAUGCAUGAUAAUUAUAAUCGUAAGGUGAGAUUUUAAAUUAUAUGACAUACAUUAUGCACAUAAUUAAUUUAAUCAAACUUAAUAAUAGAUUAAAUAGCAAAAUAAACCGAAUUUGUCACCCCUAAAAAUUAAUCAAAUUAAUAUAAUCAUAUUAAUUAAAAUAAAUUAAAUAAAGAAAUAGAAAACGAGAAAAACACAGCAGUAAGAUUGGAAUUCAUGACAUCCUUCUUUCAAGGUAGUAAUUUAACCACUGCACCAAAAUCGUCAACCAAGAAUAUUAAAAUGCGUACGUAAUGUAUGUUUAUUUCUAUUUUUUCUUUUUUAUUCAAAUCCGCUGGUGCACCCAAAAACGUCACUUCACACCAAAUCUUUUCAUCAAAAGUCAUCGAACGACACGUAUUUACAUACUUGAUUACAGAAUUAAAAUGUCCAAAACAACGGACCCUUACAUUAAUCAAAUUAAUGAAAAGUUGUAAUCUAAGGUGCCAAUAUCGAAAACAUCUAUUUUGCAAACCACAUUCAUAAUGCAAAAACUAAAUCCCACCUAAACCAAUGCAAAUUUUAAAAUUUCCAACUAAAAUUUGAGAUGACUCUGAUACCAAUUGAAUGGAUAAAAGCCCUAUGACAGCGGAAGAAUUUAAAGAACCAUUGCUCAAAUUAAUUUGCGAAUCUUAAAACAUCAGUACAUUGGCAAAAUUUUAGAAUAGGUCAUCCUAGUAAAAUAGAAACCUAACUAGUUAACGGAGUUACAUCUAGUGGUUACUAUUUCGCGGUCUGGUCUUAUGCAAACUCAUUGCAUAUGAUACCCUCACUCGCAUGUCAACUACACGAACACGUUGGAUCAUUACGUUUGUAUCAAAUACAAAGUGAGUCGUAUCAAUAGUAAUACUAAGAUAAGGUACCCAACCUUAUCCCUAUACUAUAGACCCUUUAAGCUGAUCUUGAACAUUGAUCUCUGUAUGUCUCUACAUACUAUUCAAGACUCAUUAAACUGUUUAGGAUGUUAGUUUAUUGGAUUUGGGUUAUUAAGAAAAAAUAAUAAUUUAAUUAAUAACAUUUUAUUAAUAAUGGUCAAUGGAUUAUAUUUACAAUCUACGAGUUUUAUGACAUAAAUCUCAACAUGAAUUUGUUGAUUGUAUUGUAUUUCCAAAAAUGUUUUCCAAAAUAUAACUCACUAAGUAUUUGUUUUAUGUGUUAAGUUUUCCUUCCCAGGUUAUCAGACAUUAAGGCCAAGUUGAUAAGAGUAAGGUGAGCAAGCUAGGUCUUUUAAGUGUGAAGUUGUUCUAUACAAAUUGGAAGCCUUAUUUUAUAGCUUUUAUAUUUAAGAAAGCUUGUAUUAUGUAUUGUAUUUGGAACACACGUUGUUAAGUAAUAAAGAAAAGUUGUUUGUUCUAUCUUGCAUUGUGAAAGUUUGAGUUUAAAGUUCGACCCAUGCUUAAGAUUGUUGUGUAAAUCCGCUUACUAGGCUUUCAGUGUGUUGUCUCGCUAGGAGAUACGCGUUGAGUGUCUAGGCAGUCAUGCCUCCACAGGAUAGUAUGAAGUGAUUUUGAGGCGAUGCGUGACAGAAUCUUUACUUGACGGAGGAAAAAUAGCGUCUAUAGGAGGCUUCUAAAGAGUUGUCUCAAUAUGCUUUUCAAACUUGGUUAUCUUAAUGACACUUUGAAGAGUCACUCUCUUACUUUCUAAAGAACUUCUUAUUGCCUAAGCCAGAGGUAUUACAUAUUAAAACUAAACAUACGAUAUUGGUAGAUGAUCAACACAUGUUUGACAUGUACUCAUGGGGUAGGCUAGCAUUCAAAUUAUUAGUCAACUACGUGCAAACAGCAUUGAAUAUUAGGAAAAACAUCAACAAGGGAGUUCAUAUUUCCUACUCAUAACUUGGGCAUAUGAGAUACUAUCUACCUUGAGUAUAUUUAAAAAUUUCUUUGCUAAAAAAAUGCAACCAAAGUGGAUAGGAAGAAAAAGGUUUUUGACUCACCAAAGGUACUUACAUAACCUACAACUAUAUAUUAAUUGUCAUAAGACACAGUUAUAGACUAGUUUAAUUUAUUAAGUGAAUUGACAAUAGAGCUUGAGAUAUGCCCAUUGUUGGUAACCAAUGGAGAAAUUAGAAUGUUUUACUUCCAACAUUUUUUUCAAGAAGAAGAAGCAAACAAAAUUACAAAGAGAAUUAUAAGAUAGGGCAUUGAUGGAAAAAAAUAAAUAAACAAUUGUAGUACAAUAAGGAUGAUGAAGGUGAUACUAACAAAAAGAAAUCACACCAAACUAACUCAACUAACAUUGGUCCAAGCACAAAUAUCACAAUGUAAAAAAAGUCAAUAAAUGAAGAGAGCUCUGAGACACCAAGGAAAUAAUUAUAAGUAGAAACGAAGCAACCGUCGAACUAAAGAGAAAGAGUAGCGUAACCAUCAAAUUUGGGAAUGGAGAAGCAAUAGUACCACCUUCGAACCUGAAUAUGGAAAAGUAGUAGCAAAGCGACCAUUAAACUUAUAGAUGGAACAACCAACAACAAAACAUCCCUCAAACUUAGAGAUGGAAUAAGCAGCAACAAAGCAACCAUCGAACUUAGAGAUGGAAAAGUAACAACACGACCAUUGAAUUUGGUAGGAGUGUAAAUGGAUUGAGUUGGGUUGGGUUAAGGAGUAUUUUAGAACCAACUUGAAUUUUUGGGUUGGGUGGGUUGGCAACCCGAAUGACUCGAGAAACAUUUACAACCUAACCCAACCAUAAAAAUAUGGGUUGAGUUAGGUUAUCGAGUUGUAUAAUUUUUCUUUUCAUUUCUAAUAUUUGUUAAAUUUUAAAAAUUUAUGACAUCAUAUCCAUAAAUCCACACAUCUAAAAACAUCCAUAGAGUACGAAAUUAAUACAAUAAUACUUAGCAAAAAGUUUUAAAACAUCUAGUAUUACUUAUGGAAAGUCAAAUAUGAAACAAACUUCUAAAAGAAAAACACAUUCCUAACAUCAUAUUAUAAAACUUAAUAGAAAUAUAUAGAAUAUAAUUAAUUCCGGUUGGGAUAGGUUGGAUUGGACCAAAAUUUUCAAACUUCAACCUGAGACCCCCCACAACCAAACUCAAAAUUUAAAAUAACACAUCCAACCUUAUAAUAUGGGUUGGGUAGUCCGGUUAUUCGGGUUGUUGGGUUAUUCUUACACUCCUAGAAUUUGGAGAUGGAUAAACAACAACACAACCAUCAAACUUGAAGAUGGAAAAGCAGGAACACAACAAACAUGAAAUUUGAGGAUGAAACUAGUUGCAGUACAACCAUCAAACAUGAGAAUAGAACUAACUGGAGCACAACAAUCAAACUUGGGAAUGAAGAAGCAGUAGCUCAGUUCUUGAACAUUGAGUCGAAAAGCAACAACACAAUUAACAUUAAACUUGAUGAUGAAACUAGCAGCAACACAACCACCAAACUUAGGGAUGGAACUAGCACCAGCAAAGCAACCAUCAAACUUGAAUAUAAAGAAACAUUGAUGAAGCAUUCAGUCUUGCAUUUGAAAAUGCAUCAAUGAGACCUUUGAGGUUGAUUUUGAAGAUUUUUUAAACUUGAAGAUUAAAAGUGUUUAACUUUAGAUGAGUGACACCUUUAUAAACAUACUUAUAGUGUCUUGCACCUAGUGUUACACUUCUUUGAUUUGUUGUAUUACCCUCACCAAGGCACCUUCAAUUCUAAGUGAAAGAAUGAGCACCAUCAAUUUUCUAGUAUUCUGUUUAUGUGAUUAUGAUAGUACUUUAUUUGUUUGUUGAAUUUUAAAUUUAUUUUAAGCAGGUGAUAUACCCAUAUAGGGGGAUGUCACGCCCCACCUGGAACCCAUCCCUCCCUCACAUUCCAAGUGCAAACGUGCCUCAGGCAGCUCCACACACCAGAACGCCCAAACUUAAACUUUUACUUAAAUUUAAACUUUAUAAGAACUUACUUUGUGACAUGGAAACACAACACUAAUAGGCUUGAAAGAACUUAACAACUUUAUUCCUUCAAUAACAAACUUAGUGUAAUUACAAGGUAAUGCUUAAAGAAGUUAAAACUUUUAAACUUAAAUUCUAACGCUUGCAUGGCUCUUAAUGCCUGACACAAAGCAACGACUCGCCUUCUCUACACGAUUUCCUUACUUUGCUUACCCAGGGAAGGGAACUUAAAACAUAAGCCUAAUACUUAAUAAGUGAAAGUUUAGGAAAAUCUUUUUGGGGAAAACAAGUAUGUGCAUGAAAUCAUUUUACAAACUCAACUUCUCAAUGCCUUAACACGCGCUGGAAGGAGGAAGCAAUAAAUCUUAAACACCUCAUUAGCCUCUACUUAUUCAUUCCGUCUAGACAUUGAACUUUUUCAUACAUAGACUACCUUAAUGAUUCUCAUUUCACCACCAGUAUCCCUAGAGAGUUCACGUUUAAAUUCCUGUUGUUCAAGCAAUCAACUCAAAUGCAUGCCUCUUAACGCAUCCAACCACCUUUGUGCCAUGCGAACCACUCAACAUAUGGUUGCCUUGACUCUUAUGAGCACAUAACAGCUAACUCAUGAUAUGAAUAAAGCUAAUGUUUAGUCGCAUACAAACAUUUCAUUCAAGCAACAUAAAAUAAAUACUUUGACUUAGAAACAAACUUUUAAAGGGUUGUGCUUUUCUUGUAAGUCAUAAUCAAAAUUAUAACAUGUCCUUCAAUGUACAUAAUAUAAUGAGUUUGAAAUAAAAGCUCUAGAAAAAUCUCUGUUCUUCUCUUUGGCAGGGUCACUCACAAAAACUCAAACGUUUCAUACUAACAAAACUUCUUCUCUUCGCCUGAUGUACUCUUACUAAAGCUUCAGCACUUAGGAUUUUCUUAUUAUUUCCUUUGAACUCACGAGGCCUACUUAUACUAAUCUUAAAUUGGAUUACUCAUCCUUAAACUCAUCUUAGCACGCCAACUCCUAACUUAGUGUCUUACACGUGCAAGUUUAAUAUUUUCUCUAAACAUGCUUAACUUAAACUUAACACAUGUUUAGCUAACUAAUCAUUUAGGUUAACUCUUAAUCGACUCCACUUCAACUAGCUUGUCACUUGAUAUAUAGUAAGUGCUUGUUGCCGCCAUCCUUUCCUAACUGUCUUUUUCGCUUGGCUCUUCCUUGCGUAAUACAAAACCCUAGUAUACUUUCCUUCUCACAUUAUCUUGUCUUAGUGUGUUGCCUAGCUAGCUUUAUUACAUGUACUACCCUUCCUCGCGUUGCUUAUGAAAAAUGCAUCUUCCUUCGUCAAAACAUGUCAUUCUUAUACUUAGUUAUUUUUAUAGCUUCUUUAUUCACAACCUUUUUAUUUCAUAACACGAGUUUUGAGCAGUUCACACUCUUCGCAUUUUUCUUAAAGUUUUCUUCAAGCUACAUGUGUACCCUUCACAAAAGGGAUUAAGUCAUGACGUAGUUCAACUGAAUAUUUUUUGUUUUUUUACUAGAUUGAACUUAAAGCUUUCCUUAACCUAGAUGCAUACCCUUAUAGAAAAAAAAUUAAAACAUAACAUAAUUCAACUGAGUUUUUUUUUUUUUUUUUUUUUGCCAUUCAUCUUUUAAGCUCCUGUGGGCUAGGAGCAUCAUGCACUUUAGGCUCUUCUCAUACAGAGCUUUGCAUAUUUAGUAGCUCAUAUUUUUAUCAAGGACUUGUUCACCCCCUUCAUUUGUAAGAUUGGUGAAUAUAAUAAGCUCUAGCUUUACCAUCAAGGAAUCUUUUGUAUUUAUGAUAAUGUACAACAUCCUCUUCAUGUGUAAUGGCACACAACUGUGGAUUUUAUUGUCAUUUUUUCUUCAUGAAAUGGUUUUACCUUCAAAGUUUUUAUCUUUCAUUCAUGUUUAUUACUUGUAAUCUUUAGAUUAUCAAAAUCAGAUGUUGAAGGUCGAUCUUUCUUUGAUGUGGAUAUACUUGACCUUUUAAAAGUUGAAGUUCGAGUGGAAGUACAAGUUGAACAUUGGUUUUAUUCUACCAUCAUGGCCAUACUCAAUCUCUGAAAGACUGGAGAUCAGGUAGUUGAAGGUUUGAUAUGAUCAAAGAUAAAAAGAUUUUUGCUUGACUUCUUUUGAAUUGUUGACUUCUUUGGCAGUUAUAUGAUUGCUGUCAAAUUUUUCUAUGCUAAUAGCAUGACAUGCAAAGACUUCUAAUACUUCAUUAGGAUGAUCAUCGAAAAAGUUUCUUGAGAGGGAUUAUGCUAAAGUAACUGGUUGUUGAGGUUGGGGAAAGUCUUUGUCUUCUUCCUGCACAAACUUAGGUUUUCAUGUCUUUUUCUUUCUUUUUCCUUUCCUUUUAUGAGUGGCGCUUUCUUUUCUAUAAUUUUGAUAGACGUGUGACUAUUUUUGAAUGGAAUUUCGUUGUCUCCUUUUUUGAUAAGUCGCGACUAUCCAUCCUUCGUCAUCCUCUUCAACAAGUUCUUUCUUUUUAGAGCCUACUAUCACAAUCUUUUGUUGGAAUCGAACAACUAUAGGUUUGAAUAUCCCAAACUGGAUCAAGUUUUUCCUUUGAUCAUAAAACGCCUAAUGUACUCCUUCAUUUUGCAAAUUCACUUCUUUUUAUUAAAAACACGUGUUAAGACAAUAAGACCGUGAAAACAAACGUUUUAUCCUUUGCAACUUGCAUAACGUCUUUGUUAUAUUUUAACGUAAUUAAUCACACGCUACUUCCUUUAUAUCGCCUAAAUGCCUCAUUAUUCUAUAUAAAAGGGUGUGUACAAGUUAUCACAACACCUUGUUUUUGUUCUUGCAUAAUCCUCUUUGAGUGACACUAGGUGACAUGUCUAAUGUAAGUGUCACUUGUGAUGGUAGCUUUAGAUGUAGCUUCCUUCAUUGUCAUUUGUUGAUUUGUUUAUUUAGAUGACGAGAGAGAUGAGAGGUAGAGAGAUUUCAUUCGACAUGCCAAUUUGUUCGCAUGAGAUUUUUGAAGAAACGUGUUUCGUAGAGUUGAACAUGUGUUUGUGUUGAUUUUAUGUGAUGUGGUUCAAUCUCUAAUACUUAAUCCUUUGAUUCUCUCUCGAUUGAAUGUGUAUGCUUGAUUUGAGAAAGUGAAACGCUUGAUGUUCUUGAAGUUGGGGUCUCAAUUGUAUCUACAAAAAAAUGGAGUUUUAAGGAGUGGUUUAGUCUUCACGACAUACGGAGUUUUCUUGCUGUUGAGAGAAGUCUCUUGAUGCUCUGAAGUCUAAAAUUUCAACCCUAUAAAUGAAGAGAACUUGAGCCUUAUUUAGCAUUUAGGCUAAGCUAGACCUACUUUUAGGUUCAAUAGAAUUUUAUCCCAAAUAAACAUAUUUAACUAGACCAAAUAAUUAACUCAAUCCAAUGAUCGUGAUGAAACACAUGUGAUACUAUCAAAACAUGUCAACUUUUAAUUAGUCUCAAAUUCAACUAUUUAUGAAUGAGCAUUUGUCGACACGUCAUUUACGAAAUCAAUGAUGGAUUGCAAAUAAUUGAAUUUGGACGCAAUUAAAACAAAUUGAAAUUGAAGAGGUAAAUUGAAAAUUUUCGAUGAUGCCAUGUGUUUUUGUAUUAAAUGUUGAAUUAAAUUAAUUAUUUUGAUUUAAUUAAAUAUUAAAAUUUAGAUUAAAAUCCAAUUGAGCCUGAAAAUAGGGUUAGUGUUGCCCAAAUCUAAAAUCUAAGUCAAAUCCAAUAUAGUUGGGUUCAAGGGCCAAAUCUAUGAACGAACCAAUCACAAACUCAUAAAACUCACUAAAGAUCUUCAUAAAUACUCUCUAAAUAGGGGAGUUCUCUUAUGAGUUCAUAAAGUUAGACGGUUAAACCACAUCUAAAGUCUCAAGUCCUAAGUCCUAUUUGUUUGAAGAAACAAAUAUUAAAUAAGACUAACUUUAAAACAUUUACGUGGUGCACUUCCAUACAUUAAGCAUAUGUGUUUAACCGGAGAUAAUCGAAAUAUUAAGUAUUAGAGAUCAAACCACAUCCUCGUCAAAUCUACGUUAGGAAACCUUGUGCAAAUAAUUUUAAAAAAUAAAUUUAAAAAUAUGUUAAAUUACUAUUAAUUAUGUUUAAUUAUAUGAUAAAAAUAGGACAAAAUAUUAUGUAAUAUCACAACAAGAAAUAAAUAUCAUUGUCUUCUAAAUUCUGGAACUUCUCUUCUAGUAAUAGUAUUUCAGCAAAAAGAAAAAGAAAAUUUCCAAAAACUAAAAGCCCACUUGGAUUGAAUUUCAUGUGUAUGUGUAUGUGUAUAUAAACACUUUUUUUCCCCUUCCAACAGUUAUUUAAACAAUAAGAAAAUCAAAUCUAAACACACUUAUACUCUUAAAGAUGUAUAUUACAAAACAUUAAAGAAAUAGAGUAAGAACAUAAUACAAUAAUAAAUAAGGAAAUAAUUGGAACCUACAACUUUAAUACAAUAAAUAAGGAAAUAAUUCAAACCUACAACUUUAUAAGAUAAACAACCCAAUUGGAUGGAUGCAAAAAAGAAACAUUUCCAAUUGCAAGUAAGAACAUUUUCAAUUGCAAGUAAGAGUAUUUUUUAGCUUAAAAAACUUUGGUUUAGCUCAAAAGGGAGCUAAAUUUACAACAAAGAAGAAUUGGGAAGCUGGACAACAUCACACCACUAAUCAACCUCAGUUUCAUACAAUCAGAUGAGAAGUAAAAACCCAGAAUGACUAAUAAAAGGUCAAACAACAAGAAAACCUGAUGAAUACUAGCAUCUUUUUUCAGAAAGACGAACCCGAAAAGAAAAGGAGAAAAAAAGAAAAAAGAUGUUGAUUCGUUCGUGUGACAUCAUUUCUCGGAGUAGCGUAUUAUGCAACAGUUCUGCACAUAUACCUUACCCACAAUCCAAUUAUACAUAUCAAUCAAAUUACAAGAAAGAAGGAAGGAAAGAAAGAAGUAGAAGUAGAAGAAGAAGAAAGAAGAAAGACCUAUAUUUUCAAGCUCAAUCCUGACCAAGAGAAAACCCUCUGGAACCUGCUUCUUUAUGGAACAGUUUGUGAAACAGAAAACAAAUUAGCUCUGACAGUAUCAAAUGGGAGUGUAUCACAAGGACGAAAUUAUACGAAAAAUUGCAGUACACCUGCUUUACUGAAAUACGCAUCACCUACUAUAAUUUUUGACAUCUGUUGUAUCAUCUUCUUCCUAAGCAGCAAUUCCUGAUUCAAAACAUUUACAUACAAAACAAAAAGAUCAGCCUAGUUUUAUAUUGUUAAACCUACGUUUGUCUAAGUGAGAUUUGGACACUUCCCAAACUACGACAGAUAUUCAGCAAAUAACUUAUACAUGUUCUGCCGAAGAUCAUAUAUUUUAAUUAUAACACAACCAAACAGAAACAGAUCUAAUUCGCAAAUUAGCAGGCAAUAAAUGUGCCUCCUUUUUCUCUUAUUUCUGUAGGUGACUAUGCAAACUUAUUUUUGUGCAACAGAGAACGAAACUUGUCAACUUUGCAAACUUUGCAUUGAAAAGCUUAGGGAAUAGGGACUGAUUCUGUGUGGAUUCUCUGUUUUUGUUUUUUUAGACAGCUUUUAUAAAACUAUGAUCAGAUAGCUAGAAAAAUAAAAAAGUAUCAUGUGGUUAGAAGGCAUUGUUUACAGGUCUAAUAUUUUGGAGGAAAGAACAUUAAAAAUCCCCAAGAAAAAGGUAAAAGUUUUUUCACUAAAUAGUUAGUUAAUAGGGUCUCCCAACUUUGGAAGGUGCACAGUACAUUACAUUGGUUCGAAGGUUAAUAUAUUCCGACUUCUCUUUUUUUUUUUUGGAUAAGAAAUAUAUUCCGACUUCUAUAAGAAGAUUGUAAGAAAUUCCAGGAAAAACUCCUAUAAAAGCAUAAAUAUGAAAAAGCCAUGUGUUAUAUACAAUCUUUAGAACAAAAAGACAUUAUGGUAAAACCUACAGAUCAAAUCUUGUUCAAGUAAGGUCGUAAUAAUUUAGUUUUGAUUUUUGAUUUUAUAAUGUUUAAAGUGAUAAAAUCUUGAAAGUCUAAAGUUUCUACAGAAAUAACAGCAGCAAAAGAAAGAAAAACUUUAAAAUAUUCAAAGUUUUCUUUGAAGUAAAAAAAACUCACCUCUAUUAGAUUGUCUAUUAGAAACACCGUAUCCAACAGUAUAACCAGCAUUGUUUCUACUAAUAACAUCUGAAGCUGCAUUGCCAAGGCCAAAACCAAUUGAGGAAGAAUCCUCAAGCUCUGUUGGCAACGACUGCCAACUGGAAUGCCCAUAAAAUGUGUUUCCUUCAUCAUUAUUCCAUGAACCUCAUCAUAAAUAUUUGGUGCAGAGUACAAAGAUGCUGAGGAAACAUUAGUUCCAAUGCUUCUAGCAUAACCUACAGUUGUUCCUGAUGUAAAGCUGGCAUCUCCGUUUCCGAAGUCAAGAUUAACAGUAUUGAAUGAAGAACCAGCAUUUUCCCCAUGACCUAAACUUGCAGAAGCACCCCAAAGCCCUCCGAUAUUGUUUAAUGAACUAGUUCCUGUAUGCACACCACCAGAGCCAGGAAAAGUCCUCAAGUGUGAGGAGUUUGUACCAGCAGAGGUACUGACGUUUCCCCACAGAUUCUGAACCGACGAGCUUAAAAUAGAACCAUUACCUCCACCACCACUAUAUACCAUGGGGUUUGGGCUACCGUACCUAUUUAAAUUUCCACUGUACGAGGGGCUCAUUACUCGUCCAUAGCUGAGGUUAGAGCUAACAUUGGGACCUGUCCCAUAGUUGGGGUUCAAGCCUGUUUCAAGAUUUAGCCCCAUUCCAUAACCAGGACUAAUUGGAGAAAGGCCACCCCGACCAACUGUAACAGGACUAAAUCUACCAUCAGAUCUCAAUCCAUAUCCCCAACUGCGGUUGGAUUAUAUCCUUGAUUAUAGCCAUUUAAAUAGCUACCAACUCUACCAAAAUUGAAAGGAUAUCCAGCUAAUUGAUUUCGAUUUGGCACUGGUGAUGAUUCCUUGGGAACAGCCCUCUUAACCUCAACCAUUUUUCCAUUGAGUUCAUGAAAAGUUUUGUAUAACACUUUCUCCACCGAUUCCUCCGACUCGUAAGUGAUAAAUCCAAAACCUCUUGGUCUUUGAGUAUUAUGAUCAUACAUCACAACGACAUCUACGAUUGUACCAAACUGAUCAAAAUACUUUUGAAGUCACUCUCUGUAACAGUGGAUGCCAAUCCUCCAACAAAUAUCUUCUUUGUGCGAGUAGGACCAGGUGAUCCAAGAAUACCAGUAUUAUUCCUGCUCAAAAUGUUUUGAUCAUCUCGAGGAACCGCCUUCUUUGCUUCAACCUGAACAAAAGAAAAAAGAAGACAAAAAAAACUAACAUCAAAACAUGGAAAUGAUAGAAUUUACUUUCUUUACCAAUACACAUAAAGGUCUGGAAGCAACAAAACGUAUCUUUUUAACACACGUGGAAGCCAUCACACAUAAAGCCUAAUGUCCAUGACAAACUCAACAAGAUAACGAGCCUCCUAAUAUACACAACUCAUUGUUUCACAUUGAGGACUACUUAAGAACUCAAGGAUAUAGAUGUACAACCUAUAGAACAAAUCCUGUUCAAGUAAGGUCAUUUUACAUUGAGGACUACUAAGGAAGAUUAAGAUAGACUUCUUUCUACACAAAAAUUUGCAAAUUUAUCGAAGGACCAAAGCCCUCUCACAGUAUUGAUUUGAUAUAUAAAUGUUUGUACAUAUACCCAGGACAUAUGAAGGCAACCCAAGUACAUACAUUGGCAUCAUACUUCCACAAAAACAUGGUCAUCAUUUCACAUGAAACAGAAAUUGCCCAAUUAAAAUGUGAAUAGCCGAAUCUUCCCCUUCAUGCUGUGAAGGAAAACUAUGAAUUAUCGAGAUAAAGAGAUUUAGCAUAUAAAUGCUGAAGAAUUCUAAUAAGUUUGGAUCAUGAGGAACACCAAAAGAUAUCAGGAAAACCUUGAUCCCUCCACGAGUAUAUUUAAUCCACAAAAUUGAAUCUGAAGACACACUGGAACAUUCUUUGAAAGACAUCUAAAGCUUCUAAUACAGGUGGAAAAACCAAUGAAAAUAAAGUAGAAUACACAAGACUUACAGUUCUUCCAUCAAUUACAUGUUUUUCCAAUACAACUCUCGCUGCAGCAACAGGGUCAGCAAAGACAACGAAUCCGAAGCCACGGGCACGGCCAGUGGCCCGAUCCCUCAUGAUCAUCACCUCCACCACUUCUCCAAAGUUCCGAAAGUACUCCCGAAGACGAUCUUCAUCUGUGUCCCACGAAAUACCACCAAUGAAAAGCUUGCCAGGAUCCAUGCCCACUCUACAAAUCCAUUGCAACCAAUCCCAUCAGUAUCAUUCAGCAAUAAGAGUGCAUACGGCACACAGCAAUCGCAUAUCUUAAAGUCUAAUCCAAUCGGCUUGAGAAGAAGAAGCCAGAAAGCCGAUCAAUCCAAGCUGAGGAAAAACAGAAGGCUAUACAAAAACAACACAGAUAUCUAUGGAACAGUUUUGCUUACAUUAGAAGAGGAAUAGAAUUGAAGCUAGGAUUGAAAAAGAAACAUUCAUUUAAGAAACACGGCAAUGCGAGCUAAAUUAAACAGAUGUUAUGAAAAAGAAAAACACAAAAUCGUCAUCAAAAUGGAAAAUGCUCUUAUUGUUAGAUAGAGAAUGAUUGAAAUCAGAUUCGAUCUCAAAGCAUCGGAGCGUCCACCGAUCAGAAAAAUCGAUCGAUCUACAAACAAGGAAUCCUCAAAAGCUAAAAGCACAUAAAAGGAAUGAACCCAUCAAAGAAGAAAGGUUAAAAUUCGGAAGAAAUGAGUUUUGAUUCAAAACCCAGAAAAGAAAUGAAGUAGGAAGAUUGAAGAAAGAAAAUGAUUUGCAGAGAAAAGAAGAGAAACUUACCGAAAUGAAAACGACCCAGUUGGGAACUCUAGAAUCUAAGAUCUAAGAGAAGGCAUAAUAAGAAGAGAGGGCGAGAGGCCCUCCUUUUUUCCUAUCUCUUUCCUUGUUCCAGUUACUGUUUUGGUUUUUGUUCUAGAUAAAUAUGCAAUACCAAAUAAACGAUUGAAGGCUAUAUAUGAAACAGAGAGAAGGAGAAAGAUAUUUGUGUAAGAAAAGGAAUUUGCAUCUGGAAUGGGCGCAAUAUUUGCAUCUAAAUAUAUAACAAAUUACAUAUACACACAAUUAUAAUUAUAUAUGUAUAGGUAGAGAGAGAAAGAAAAGAGAAAAGAAAGACUUGGUUGUCUUGCGCGUACGAAAAUUACAAAGGGAGACGAUGAUGAACAAGGGUAAUAAUUUGGUAUGCUAAUUUUUUUUUCUUUUUCUUAAUAUUAUUUUUUUCAUUUUUCUUUUCUUUUUUAUAAAAAGAGUUGCCAUUUUUGUCAAUUCUUUCCUAUGGGUUAGUGAAAUUUUUUAUUUUCUUUUUCUGGGUAUUUAAGAAUGUAAGUAUGGUGUAAGAAAAAAACACAAGAUUUGGUAGAAAGAUAUUAAAGUCUUUUUCUUUUGUUAAUGAGAUGUAUUCAUGUAUGGUCUUCAAAUAAUUAUACGAACAACCACAAUCACAUUGAGGUUAAUCGGAGAAAAUUGAAAAAUGGUCAAAAUUUCCUUGAGUUUUUCUAUUCAAAAUAAAUGUUAGAAAGAUUCAUACAUUUCUGCUGCAAUAGCAAUUCUUGAUUUCCUCCAUGGAAUUAGUCAAUGUGAAUUGCCACAAAUUUCAAGUUUAAAACUCAAAGUUUUUCAUUAUUUUUGUUUUUGCUAUACUCAUUACUACAAUGCAUCUUCCUCUGUGCGUAAUUAAUUGAGUAAUGAAAUGGGAUUUCUUAUUCCUUUUUCUACACUGUUAUUAUUAUUAUUAUCAAAUAAAAAAUAGAAAUCACCUUCCACACCCAAAUUACUUCCUGUGGAGGCAAGGAAUGAGGCAUUUAGGCUAAACUUGCUUGUUGACAUUUACACACUCCAAUUAUUUAACUCAUCUUUCCAUUCAUUGUCAUCACAAAAACACACAUGUAUGAUGAAAAGGGAUAGAAUUAACAUAUAUUUUAUCCUUUUAAUUGCAUAUAUAUAUAUAUAUGUAUGUAUGUAUAUAAAUUGUGAAGAAAUAAAAAAGAAUUAAGUAAUUAAAAAAAAAAAGAAAUAAAUGGAUGAGUUUUGUGGUAUAAAAAAUAGAGAGAGAGGAGAGGAAAAUAAAAGGUGGGGCAGAUGUGUGAAAGACAGAAGGGAUUGCUUGUGCUUCCACACAUUCUUAGGGAAUAGAAACAGGUAAGUUAGAUGCAAUUUCACAAGUUUUCUCAUCUCCCCAAUACACAUCUAUUACUCUUUACUAUUCUCAUCCUUUUUAGUCCUCCAGUUUUGAGCAACACGUUUUUUUAGUUUUUUAAAUACAUCUUUUUAAUCUUUGGAAUUUUUAAGGCUUCAAACUUAGAUACAUGGAAUGUGUACCGAAUAUAGGGUCAAGUUAAUUUCACAAAUUGAGAUGGAAAGGGAUAAAACCUUCAUAGAAAGAAACUAAAAGUUAGCUUGCUGUUUUUACAAAAUUUCAAAAGCUAAAAUGGUAUGUUGUUCAAAAAACUUGGAUUAACGAUAGUUUGCAAUUAUUCAAAAAACUUGUUUACAUUUUCUUAUUUUAACGCACAACAUAUAUAUAAUAUAUAUAUAAUAUAUAUAUAUAUAUAUAUAUAUAUAUAUAUAUAUAUAUAUAUAUAAUAUGUUCUAACUAGUUUUCAAGGUGAGAACAGUGAAAUUGACAUAUUAACUAUAAGAUAUCUAAUUUUAUUAUUGGAGGUUCAUAAUUUAGGUUGGAUCGGAUUAGGAUAGAUUUUUUGAACCAACCAAAAAUUUCAGCUUCAUCAAAUAUUCAAUCCAAUUAAUCCUACGCAUGAAAAGAACCCAACCCUCAUAUUUUUUGAUUUGGUCGGAUUCGGUCAGAUUUGGUCACGAGGCUCGCCUUUACACAACAAAACAAUGGUUGAAAUUUAUGAGAAAUAGGAUGAAAAAAGAGUAUUUUUUAAUUUUCAUAAAAAAAUAAUUAAAUUUCAUGUUUGUGUGGCACAUAAACUAUGAAAUGUUUUAUUUAGGUACUUUUUUCUCGAAAAUCUCGUCUAAUUGAAGGUGUUCUAACAAAUGUAAAUACAAUUAAACUCUUUCAGUCUUAUAGUUUCUUGAUCGUAAAAGUCUACGUAAUAAUUAAAAUAAUAAUGUAAAAUAGUGGAGGGAAUAAACCAAUGAGUUAUACAAUAAUGUAUAAUUUUAGGUUGGCCGGGUCAACAUGACGAAAAGAAUUAUGAACCCUAAAAUUCAAAAAAAUUUAUCCUAACUCAAUCCAACCUAAUGCAAAGUAGAAUUUAACAUCGAUGUUCUAAUAAAACAACGUAUAAAUAGUUGAAUGGAUGAAGGAAAAAAAACAUUAAUUAUAAAUUUUUAUAUGACAUACACGUGUGACUUGAACUAAGUUUUUGUUGAAAACUUUUUUGUAAUGUUGUUUGAUGUAAGUAGUGACUAUUUGAUCAAAUAAUCUUAGCUCACAACAUUAGUUAACAUACUUUUCGUCCUAAAAAUAUGAGGCUCGAUUCUACAUCCAUGCACUAAUUAUUGUACUUUAGGGGGAAAAAAUAGUUGUAAUUAUUUGAAGUCAAAGACAAAAUAAAUAUUUAUCAAAAUUUUAAAAAUGACAAACGACGUGAUUAUUUGUUUAUCUUUUAUCCCUACCAUUAGGUUGUGAUGUUUAUAUCUUUAGUCUAAAUCACACUCAUACAUGAAAUGAUACAUCGUGUAGCCACUUCAACGCAUAUAUAUAUAUAGUUGUAAUUGGUGAUGGAGGCCAUUGUUGGUUUAAACAUAUUUUCACUGUUUGAUCGUGAAUUUUCAUAUUCGUAGUUGAUAUCAAACACUCGUGAAUGAAUGAUUAUAAUGGAAAAAAUAAUAUUGUAUCUCUCAUUCAACCAUAUUGUCACUAUUAAAUCGUGAUAUUAUACUAUAUAAUUUUGACCAAACUCGUACACAUAACUACACUCAUUUCACAUCUUUCCAUCUCUUGACCUACCUAAAUAGUGUUAACAAACAAAAGAUUAGGAAUUAUGAAAGAUGGUACGAAAAAAAUGGAAAGGUGAUAUUUAAUUUAUUCAUAGCUUUUAUAUAUAUAAAUAGAUUUCGAUAUAAUAUCCUAUUUUAUCUCUUAAAUUUUUGUUUGCUAUUUUUUUUGGCCUUUAUUUUAGCUUAUAAAUAUUAAGGGUCAAUGUAUGAAUAUCAUUAACUUUAUUUGUCAUUUUCUUCAAAAAGAAAAAAAAAAAUCUUAUUAUUUCAUUAAUAAUAAUUUUUGAAAAAAUCAAAUUAAUUUGAAACAUUGAAUCCUCCUUUAGUUACGUGACUUUAAACAAUAGAGUUACACAUAUACCUAACUAUAAGUUAAACACAAAAGACUAAAAUAUUCUUUUAAAAAAAUUGAGUGUACAAUUGAUAGACAAUGAGAAUAUUUUAAAAAAUUAGAAACAAAAAAAAAAAGAAAAAGUUUAGCCUUUUUUUUUUUAUUUUGUUUAAUUUUUCUUAAUUUUAUCGUGUUUUAGUUAAUUAAAUUAAAGCUAAUAUAUGACUUUACACAAAAUGAAUGUUCCACAUUAACAUUCUAUUCAUCAAGUUUCAUAUGAUAUGUAGCAUCAACUUUAAAUUUUUGAUGGAAGAAAGUAUAAUAAGAAUUAUGUUAAUAUUAAAAGUUAGUAAUGAUAAAUUAUAUGGAGAGUAUAGGAGGCUAUUAUUUACCUUAGAACAUUGAUUACUUAAUAGUAGGUGGGUUUAAAUUAAGGAGGGUGGAUGACCAACUUGAAUGGUCCAAAUGAAUCCAAAAGAAUAGCCACCAACCACACAAGAAAACAAUCUUCAGUAUCACAUAAAAACCUGAAAGGGUCACAUUUAAACAAACAAAAGCUACUAAUCCUAACCAUUCUUUUAUCUUUCUCUUUUAUUUUUCACUUUAUAUUCUUCAAGUUUAUUUUAAUUUUUUCUUCUUCUUCUUCUUAAAACAACUAUAGUGGAAAAACAAAAUGUAUGUAUGUGUAUGUAUCCAUCAUGUUGUACUGUUUUACUUUUCCUUCAAGUUGACUCUUCAUGCAACUGGUGACUGGUCCUUUGGGGUAAAAGAGAUUAAAAACUUAACAAAAGGGUCAAAGGGGUUGGUGAAAAUAGAAAUUUUGAUCUCAAAAUAAGUUUUUGGUUUUUUUUAUACUUUUUAAUAUACUUUAAUUCUCAACUGAUUAUUGAGUUUUUUUAUUAUUAUUAUUAUUAAAUGCAAUGGUUUAUAGAUAACUGAAGAGGUAGAUGAUCAUAUGAUUAGGGGUUUUACCAUCACAUGCAACCAAUAAUUACUUUAGGAAAGAAAACCAGAAAUUCUUUUGUUUCUUCUUUUCAAAUUAAAUUGCAACAAAAAUUCGAUCAAGGUUGUGGAAUUGAAGUAUGUUUGUUUGGGUUAAUUUAUAUUUUAAAAAUAAUAAUAGCUUUAAACAACUCCCUGUGAAUGUAGCUAUAAAUCUUGUGAGUAAUUUGCUGAAGACUCCAUUGAUUUUGACUAUACUACACUGCUUUAGAAAAACUUAAAGUCAAGUUCAUUGAGAAGGAUUUCUCUAUCCUUACCGGAAGUCUAAGGUUGCUUCCUAAGGAGGGAGCUCUCAUACACUUAGGGAAGCUUAAGUUGGUCAAGUGAAAGGAGUUCACAAAGACAAGAAGGAAAGAUUCAACUUAGUGAGAGGGGUCUCACAAGCUUAGGGGAGCCUAAGUCCUAAAAGAGGGAGUCUAUUUAACACCACGAAAUAAAAGAAUCUUAAAAUUACUCGAAUCGUCUUGCAAGAAACAUUUAUAUACCCAAACUUCUUACAAACAACUAAGAAAACGUAGCAAAGAGUAAAUUCAAGUUUGAACCCAAAGGAAAUUUGUUAAGAAAAUAUUUUUCACUAACUUAGAAGGGGGGAUUUUGGUGUAACUUUUCAAGAAAUCUAAAGAACAAUAAAGUAAAUAUUUUUGGCUUUUUUCAAGAAAAUGGGACACAAAAAGGUGUAUUUCUCUCUAUCAAUAAGAAAUUGAGAACGAGUCAUUUUAUUCCAUCUUUCUAUCGUUGAAUGAAUCACAAAUUGCAAUUAACAUCAACCCACAGCUAUUAGUUCAAAAAACUAAUUAUCUUAAUUCAAUGAACAACAUUUACAUCAAAUUCAUAUUAAACUUAUCAAAUGCAUUUAUCAGCUCAAUGACAUUCAUACAUUCUUUAAGUUUGCUUGAAAGGUCUUGGAUUUAAGUUUGCUUGAAAGGUCUUGGAUUUAAGUUUGCUUGAAAGGUCUUGGAUUUAAGUUUGCUUGAAAGGUCUCGGGUUCAUUGUUGUGACAUUCAAAAGCAAAGAAAGUCGCUAUGUGAUCAAGAAUUAUUUAUUUAAUUGAAUUCAUAUUGAAUCAUACAAGAAAAGAUUAAAAGAAAAAGAUGCUUAAAAUCAAUUUGAUAAUCACCUCAAUAUUGAUUCAAAAAUUAUGCUUAUCGCCAUUAGAAAUUAAACAAAGAUUCAUGUAUGAUGAUUGAUUGAUUGACAAAGUUAUUCAAACAAGAAAAUUAUACAAAAAUCAAUAUUGAAAUUCAAUUAAAGAUAAUCAACUAUCAAAACAUGGAUUUUCAAGAAAGAUUAAACUAAAAACUCAUUCCCAACAAGUACCUUUUAGUUCUUUAUAAUCCUUGUAGUAGCAUCAACAAGAAUGAUGAACAUCAAGGACAUCUUCAAAGAAAGGCUGAGAGAAAUUGUAAAUGAUUUUGGGAGAGAAAUUUACAAAUUGAAUUUUCCCUAACUAUUGGGAACUGAAAACUAUUGAAUGUUAUGGAAAAUUAGAAAGAAAAGGGAGAUUUAUAAUCAAUUGCUGUUGAAAAUGCAUGCAAGCAUGUAGGUGUGCGCACUUCAAAGUUCAAAUCACAAUGGGAGUUGACAUCUCCGUUGUGCACUCUCAACGGGUUCCACGAUAUUGAGGAUGCUGCUCCAAUUCUCGUAAAAAGAGUGAUGCAUUCAGAAGCCUUAAUGCCUAGAUUGGAUCUAUCUGUGUAGUGUAUUAUAUCUCGCCUUGUUCUCGAGUAGUGUAUUUGUAUCUCGCCUGAACAGAACGUCUUCCUUGGUCAGCUCAUGUACUUGUUCAAAUUGUCCUAUUGGUCAGAACACCUAACGAGCAACUUACCAAAUGAUCAUCAUCUCAUAUACUGGUCAAAACCCCUAGUAAUCACCUCACAUAUCGCCUAGUUAGAACACCUAAUGAUGAAAACGUCUGAUCAAAUCAUCUGGUCAAAACGCAUACUGCAAAAUAGAAACAAGUUAGAAAAUUGUUGAGUCGCGAAUCAUGUUUUUUUUAAAACGUUUCAUAGCUAUGCUAUUUUGUGCAAACAAAUUUGAUAUCCUAUCACCACAGGAUAAAAUACUCUCAUUCUUCAAUUAGUUUUGUGCUGAAACUAAUCAUAAUUAUCAAUAUUCAAAUAGACACUCUAAUGCUCGGUAUACUGAAAGAGAAUUUUGGGAGAGAACAAAAUUGUUGGGUUGUUGUUCUGUGUUUAUUUAGAAGAGAAGAAUGAGACUCAUUAUAGCGAGCGAUGAGAGAGGCUUCAAUGGUCAAAUGAUUAAUGACAAAAGAGAAAUUGUUGAUUGAUAAUUACCAUUUAAUUUGAAAUAAUUUCGGUCAUUUGAUCGUUAUAAAUGUCUUCGUUGUAAAUGUCUUCUUUGAUUGAUAAUCAAAGAGGCUUCAAUCGUCUUCUUUGAUCGUUCAUUUUCACUUACCUUCUUCAACCAAACUUCUUAAAUUCUUCUUCGUCUUGUUCUUCCACAUAAAUUCUUUUCUGCCAUUUUGUUCAUUGCUUAAUAUUUUUGUGCCUCAACCAAAUCUAUCUCCAUCUAACUUCAUCUAUCUAUGAUAUAAUUAGGUUUGAAUAUAUCUUUGUUUCAUUUAAUUUAAUAAUCACUCUUAUUCUAUGUAACUUAAACUUUUUUUUUUUUUUUGUAAAUAGAUGAUGAUCAAAAAUCAAACAACAUCAACUAGCAAAGCAAUCAAAUAAAGGAAAGACCGAAGAAAACACAAAUGAAGAAUGAAAAAGAAGUGAAGGUAACAAAAUUGAAUGCUAAUGUCUAUCUAUAUAGUGUUCUAUCUUUGUUUAUCUUUGGCAAUGUCUAUUUUGAACAAUGUCCUAUAUUUGUCUAUCUUUGUAAAUGUCUCUGUAUAUAGUGUUAUAUCUUAAUCUAUCUUUGUCAAUCUCUAUCUAUUAGCACCAGCUCUUGAUUUUUAACACAUUGUUUAUUAUAUCUUUUCACAGGUCAAAUAUCAUCUAAAUGACCUAAUUAUGGAAGAUGAAUACAAAAACCUUAGAAUGACUGUAUACUACUGUUUAGAAACAUUGAAUCUAAUAAAAUCAAGAAUAGAUCAAAUAAUUCUUUCUAGAGUUUUAAACAACUCUUUUGGCCACUUCCUUAACAUUAAAAUUGCCAAAAUACCAACACAACUCUUGAAUUAUUUAAUAAGAAAGCAACGCCAUAUAAAAUAGCUUAAUGUCCUUGCUUUCAACUUUAACGGACAUAUGGCAAAAUUUGGGCUGAAAGAAUUCUAUUUGGUCACUAGAUUUUAUGGCACAAAUUUCGAGAGUUAAAUCUAGGAGAAAGAGAAGAUAAUGGUUUUGAAAAUGCUCUUUUCAGUCAAGAUGACUUUAUAACUAAGAGAGAUAUAGAGAACUUUGAAAGCACUAUGGAAUGAGGAAGACUCAUUCAAAGAAAAAUUAGUUAAUCUCUAUAUCUUAGAUUUUUAAUUUCCAAGCAACAAUACAACCACAUCAUUCCCCAACAUCUAGACAUAUUGGAUCAUGAACUAACCUUCAAAGACUAUCCAUAGGGAAGACUAUCCUACAUCCUAACAUAUCAAUUCUUCAAGAAAGCAUCAUACAACAAGGAUGUUGUAUACUUUCAAGGAUUUUCCAUAGCUUUAAUCUAUUGGGCUUUUGAGACACUACCAAAACUUUUCAAUUUAGAUGUUGGGUUUGGAAGAAAACUUGGAAUUCAAGGUCCAACAAUCGUGACGUGGGAGUGUUUAGAGUCAAGUGACUAAAAGUAGACUCUAAACGUGAACAUUUUUUAAUAUGAGGAUGUAAGUAAAUUUACAACAUUUUCUAUCUUUGUUUAUCAUUCGUUAUCAGUAUUGUUGCUACUUUAUCACUAAUCAUCUAACAUCAUUUUACUUGAAGUUUUGUAUGACGCCACUAGAUUCAAGAGAAGAAAAAUCUCAGAAAAUUUUGAAAUAUUUCAAAGAAAUUGAGGCGUAGGAGAAAAAAGAACAUAUAGAGAUACAUUAAGAAGAAAAAGAAAGAAAUGGAAACAAACCUAGGAAUAAUACAAACAAACAAAAUCUUGAAUGAAAUAAGUGAAAUUAGAAAAAAAUCAAGGGAAAUGGAAGCAAAACAAAUUUUUCAAUAAGGCCAAAAAGAAACAAAAACAAUAUUAAAAGGUCAAGAAGAAAUAAAAAGAAUCUCAAUAUUGGUUAUGAGAAGCUUAAACAUUAGGCUACCAUUAGAAAAUCUUCCAUAACAACAAAAAGAGAGAAAAAGAGUAUCAACGAGUUGUGGAAAAAAAAUAAACACCUACUUGUAGCCUUAGUCAUCUCGAAAAAGAAGAAGAAGUUAAUAUAAUGAUUGAUUAUGCAACAACAUAUUGCUCUACGGUUAGUGUUUAAUUCAUUAUCUUCUGCUUUAUUUUGUUUAAAAUUGCUCAACUUCAAAAUAAAGAACAAUUGUGUUUUCUUCUUCUUCUUCUUCUUUUUUUGCAAGGAAUUGUGGUCCUUGAAACACAGAGUGAUUGUAAACAAGAGAAACUGCAAAUUUAGAAACACCAAACACACAAUUGUUGUUAGAGGUUUAAUUCUUUUACAAACAAUAAAUUUAUCACACCCUAUUGGAAUAGACUGAGAUAGUGCUCUAUCUCUAUCUAACCAUGAUAGUUAGAAAUAGUCAUCUAUAUCGAUAUAUGUAAGAUGGGCAAUCCUAAACAUCUAUAUGAUUUCUUUUGAAAUUUGUACUCUAUAUUUUUAUAGAUAGAUGAAGAAGAACAAAA
rnacentral:lncRNA from 1 species